rnacentral:misc_RNA from 1 species
AAAAAAAAAAACCAAGUACGUUGAAGCAAGGACGAGAAAGGCAGGGUUUAAACGUUUAGGGUUUUGUCUAUCCAGCAAGAAUAAACAGCCGACCGGAAAACCACACUACUCUGAUAACAUUUCAUCCAUCACGUCUUUCAAUUCCAGCUCUCUCUCUUUCUCAACAUGAUAAGGGGCGGUAGAAACUACGUUUCUUCGCCACCAGCCUUCUCCAACGACGCCAAACGACUCCUCGUUUGCUCUGGCAACGCCGUCUCCAUCUUCAGCACCGCUACCGGCUUACUGAUAACAUCUCUGGAAGGUCACACGGCGCUUGUGACGGCGGUGGUUGUGGCUCCGGCGACGAGUUCGGCGAGUAAGAUAUUGUGCUAUUGUUGGACGGCGUCUCUUGAUGGGACUAUUCGAUAUUGGGAUUUUUCGGUGCCUGAGUUGAUCAAGACAAUAGAUAUUAAGUUCCCCAUUUACUCCAUGGUGAUUCCAUCUAUAUUAAGCCAACCAGCUGAGAACAAUGAAAAACCAGCAAAAUUUUUUGCCUAUUUGUCUGUUGAAGGUACUAAAGAACCAGAAAAGCAGUCAAAAGCUUUAUGUGGGCAAAUUAGGAAAUGUAACUUGACGGACUCACGUCUGGUUGGUGGAGUAACUUUGGCAGAGACAAAGCAACCAGAAUUGAUAACUAUUAGCUCCUGUGGAAAAUAUAUUGGCAUCCGGAUCAAGCGCAAGCUUCAUAUAUGGAAAGUCCCCAGUGCAGAUUCCGAUCGUACAAUGGCUAAGAAGAUCACACUGCGUCAUACAAAAAAUAUGACAGUUACUGCAUUCCACCCAACUCAGAGAAUUCUUGCUGCAGGAGAUGUGACUGGGAGAAUUUUAAUUUGGAGGGGUUAUGGAAAUAGAACAUUUGCCAUAGGUGAUGGAGGAAGAUCAGUGAAUAAUGAGGAAGAAAGACCCGGAGUGAGGGGUAAUGAUGAUGCUGAUUGCUGCACGACAUGGCAUUGGCACGCUGCUGAAGUAAAUACCCUCUUUUUCUCUUCUGAUGGAGCCUAUUUGUAUUCAGGUGGAAAGGAAGGAGUUCUUGUGGUUUGGCAACUAGACACAGGGAAGAAGAAAUUUUUACCACGAAUUGGAUCUCCACUCCUAUACUUCACAGAUUCUCCAGAUCCUUCUCUUUCCUCUAUAUCUUGUGCAGAUAAUCAAAUACAUUUAUUGAAAAUGCCUUCUAUGGAAAUUUUGAAGUCCAUUUCAGGGAUCAAGCUUCCUUGUUCAUUUCCUGAGACAUACAAAGGCUUAUGUAGUGGGGUUGCCUUUGAUCACAAUGCUGGCUUAAUUGCCUUGCGUACAGAGAACUAUUCCAUUCAGCUAUAUAGUCUAUUUGAUGACCGUGGAAUUUCUGAGGUCCAAGUUUGUGAGAGAAACCAUCAUCCUGGUGAUGACGUCACGGUAGUAGUGACUUUGGUUACUCUAUCAUUGGAUGGCUCAAUGAUGAUUACUACAGAAGUGAAACUUGCCGAGGAGGGCUUAGGUGGACUUGUUUGUCUUAAGUUUUGGGCUUUGGGCUCAGAUAACAGAAAAUUCAGUUUGUCCACUGUUGUUUAUGAGCCGCACAGGUUUGACCCUGGCCUACUUGUUUAGGAAAUUGAAUGGGAUAUAUAUGGAGAAGUCCUAUAGGAUGCAUGUGAAUAAGCCCAUGUGGCAGCAUCUGUUUUAUGCCAAUGAAAAGAAAGUAAUAAAUGUUACCUGCAACUGUUGAGUUGCUCUAGGUUCAAUGAUUUUUUUUCAUUAUUGGUUAUAUCUUGAUCAAUCUAUAUUAAUAUUUACACGAGAUAUUUUUUGCAUCAACUGUUGAUACUGGCAAGGUUUUUUGACCAUUUGGUUUUGAAGACUAACAUUUCAGGUUCCAUUUUCCAACUUUCACAUACCACUAACUUUUAUUCUUUUCCAUUUUCCAGUCCAGAGAGUCCUAUCUCCUCACCUUCACUCAUUUUUUUUUCUCCCCUCUCUCUUGCUCAUUUCUGUCCUUCACCCUUCAACAACCAAUUGCUUUUAUUCCAGAUUCUGAAACUCAUCUGUCCCUCUAACUCAAAGCAUCUCUUUUUCCUUUUUCUUUUUCCCACUCCAUCUUUUCUGUUGCCUACAACCUUGUGGCUUUCAGUUGAUUUCACAUGUGGUAGCACAGGUCUGACAAUUUUCAUAACCUAGGCUUAUUUGUAUUUAUUUGAUCUCUAUGGUUACAUUUUUUAAGAUGUGGUGGUUUUGUCUUUAUUUUGCCCAAUUGGCUUUGUGAUUAUUUCUGUCUGGGACUCCAGAUUCAUAUUGUGAGAUGUCUCAAAAAAUUUUAUGCUGGCUGUCACCUACUGUAACCUCCUCUAUCCAGGUUUGUGAUAGUUUAAUAAAUGGCAUUAUAAUAUCCCGGUUGAAUUCAGUUGACUUGAGGCUUUCUGAUUAGGUAAUUAGGGAAUUUAAAGGUGUGUCAUCAUUGUGGAUGGUAUGGAUUGUGGUUUUCCGUUGUGGAAAAUGCAUUGUGGUUUUGGAUGGCAGAAGAUUAAACCAAGAAACUGAUUAAUCAAAUCAAUAGAAUCACUUACUGGUUUUACUGAUUCUCUUUCAAUUUAGUGAAUUCUGAAUCUGUCACUUUGAUUCGGUUUAAAAUAUUUGCUCACAAUAUGGAUAAGCAAACAGUGAAAACACCCUUCAUUAAAGUUAUUUAAAUAUUGGAAGUAAAGCUCAUUCCUCUUGGUGAAAGUAUCUUCAGGGUUCAAUAUCUGUUUUUCUCAAAUGGCAUAUGUUGAUGAGUGUAUUGUCUUCAAAUUUGUUGGACAGAAGUGAUGAACAUCAUGUUAGUUGUUAUUGUAUAGGGAUGCUAGCAUUUCUUCAAUUGCUUUCCAUCCUACCCGUUGUAUGGCUGUCAGCUCAUCUUAUGGUGGGGACUUUAAGACUUGGGUUUGCAACAAUGGGAUUCAACGGAGAGAUCAAGUGCUUACAAGUUCUAGAUGGACUUGCCAUGCUGUUGCCUCAUAUAAAAAAAAGCCAAUGACAGCUGCUACAUUUUCUUAUGAUGGUUCUGUUCUUGCUGUUGCUGCUGAAACUGUUAUUACAUUAUGGGACCCUGACAAAAAUGUUCUUGUGGCUGUAAUUGGGGAGACUCUCACGCCAAUUGUCAGUCUCUCAUUUGUGGGGAAGUCAGAAUACCUUGUUUCUGCAUCUUGGGGUUCAAAACCACAACUAUCUGUUUGGAGUUUGUCAAAGCUCUCUAUAUCUUGGUCAUACAGGCUUCAUGUAGAAGCUAUAGCCAGUGCGGCCGACUUAUCUUUGUUUGCUGCUCUUGUUUUCCUUCCCAAAUCAUCUAAAAGCAGUGAAUCCAAUGAGACAAUUUUUAGAGGAAGAGAUGGAGUAAUUUUAAUUUUUAAUGCAGCAGAUCCUGUUCCUAGUGCCACUUGGUUGGUGAAUAAGGCUAAGGGAGGAGCCCUUGCUUUUCUUCAAGUAAAUCAAUCUUCUGUGGAAGAAAACAUGUUUGAUGGGAAGCCACUUGGAUCAUUGCUUGCAUACAUAAAUGGGGAUCAUGAGUAUAUCCUAUUUGAACCACAUGGAAAAGAAGCUAAUGAACUAGGGACAAUUAAGCAGGAAGCUGUUCCUGACCUUGAAGAAGCAGGGAAAUUUGGGUAUGCAUCUAUCUAUGGUGAGCUCCCAGAGUUUAACCUGAAAAGAACCCAGACUUCAGCAGUAGUUCCAUUUGUACCAUCCGAGAAGCUGUUGGAAACCAUGUUUAGUGGGUCAUCACAUAAUCUUCCACCCCUCACCAAACUAUGUUCAGCAUUUUUGGAAUCAUUGUUGGAAAAGAGGAUUACUGUCUCGGAUUGAUGCCUGGGGAUGUUAGAUACAAGCUUGCCAAUGCAAAUUAGACACGCCCCUCGAAAAUGUCGGUAUUCUUGCACGUGUGAUGAUACAGAAAAUGCCGUUCACACUUGACAUUAUGCCAUGAAUAUCAUUGGUUAAAAUGGCAGCGUAUGUCGUACCGGAUUUCAGCAGUUCAGAGAAGAAAUUUUGUAUGUCAAAUAGAAAGCUUAGUAUAGGCUUCAGAAAUUUUGGUAUGUAUAAUGUUCUCUGGGAUACUUCUACUUGCUUAGAGUAGCUAAAUUAUGAUUAUGCUGGGGAGACGGAGCAGGGCUUUGAAAUUGUUGUGACAUUUAUUUGGUAGAGAAGUAUUGAGUCCUGUCAGAAUCUUGAACAUCAAAUAUUAAAAUGUCGUGGAAAAUUACAUAAAUUUCUUUUUUUUCUUGAUCUUGGUGGAAUGAUUCGAGGCUGAACAAAAGGAUUGAUAGUGCAAUGAUGCAGGCAUUAAUUUAAUGCUCUUGUUGCUGUUAUUUUCUCCAGGUGAAAUUGCAGUAUGCGGUCCAAGAAUUGCCAUGUCUUAACAUCCUCUUACGAGCAACAUCUCUUAUUUGAUGAAUAUAUAAAUCUUG